GCCGCCCGCCCCGCGGCCCUCCUCCCAGUCUUGCACAGCCCUCCUGUUCUCUGCGCUGUGCGCCUGUCGCCGGCCUCUUUUCACGCGGAGAUGGCGGGCGGGUCUGCAGCUACUGUGUAUCCGAUCCCCGCCGGCCCUUCUCGCCUCCGCAGCUCGGGCGCCGAGAGUUCGUCUCUCAUCUGCCGAAGCGCAGCGGCCUCAGUUCUUGGCGCAGGCUGCCGCAGUGCUUUAAGAGGCUAACACAGAAGGGUAAAGUAAGUCUCCAUAAAACCCAGAGAAGAGAUGACCAGCUCCUCUUUGGAUCCUGUCUGGAGUCACAACUGAACAAGAAAUGUGUUUACACUUCCAGGACCUUUGGUUAGAAGCCGGAAGUACCAGUUACUGGAGUUCUGCUGGAGUUCGGAUGUCCCAAUGCUGGUAUUUCAAUGGACUUAGACCAACUGAAGUUCUGUCAUUGCGAUAGGAUAGGAAAGCAUGAUUAAGGAGGUCAGAUACGGUCCCUUAACCUGGUCCCUGCACUGCCACCAGAGUUAGAGCAGCAGGAUAGUGCUGGUAGUCUCAGGGCUGUGUGAACUGGUACCUCAUUUUCACCUUUGAAUUCUUACAAAUCUGAAGUAGAGAUUGUUCUUCCAAUUUGCAGAUGAAGAAGCAGGCCAGAUGGUAGCUUAAGUUCUACCACAUGUAUGCUAUAAGCUGCUUGCUUUGGUUUUUUAGAUGGUAAAUUCAAGUCUUGUUUCAGUUAAAUCAGUUGUGGGUUCAAGUCCUAGCAACACUAUUUAGAGCAUAAAAUAUAACACUGAUGGGGUCCUUGUGAUCAUGUUCUUUGGGGGCUUCUUGUCCUUUGAGAAUUGAAAUGAGAAAUGAUUCUAGCAUACCUAAAUGCAGUCCGUUUGAGUUUGCUGUCACACUGCCUGCACUUAGUCCUCCCUGAGUUUGGGAGGAGACGGGGAUGGGUCUUUAAACCGCUGUGGCACUCUCCAGCUAGACCUGUUCUGCCAAAGAUGUGGGAAAGGGGAUAAAGUCUCACAUUGUCUUUUUUGAUUUUACACCAAAAUAAGAACCAUCAGAAAAGCUGAAAUUUGCAGCAGGGUGAACAGGCCUCCCCGAGGCAGCUGGAUGACCUGUCCUUGCUAACUGCUGUCCACCUCCAUGUAUAAGCCAGGCAGACAGAGUAAUGGAUUGCAGGCCUUUCUGCUGGACCAUCUAGGGCAGUGGCCACAUAGAACCCUACUGCUCUGCUCCCUGAUGCUGACAAGCUGUCCACAGCUGUGUAAAAAUGACUGGCAUUGAUUCAAGCAGACCAGACUUGACUGUCCAGCCUCGAGAGGAGUCAGACCUAGAUCCCUUAAGAUUAAUUUUUAAAAAAGGAAGCGAGGGGAGGCAUUACUGAAACUGACUAGAAUGAGCCUGUUGCCCGUACCUGUUUAGGUGUUCUUGCAGGCCUUAUAUGCAAAAGAAUACAUCUGACCUCAAGUUACCCAAAGAGGAAUCAAAAUAGGGAGGGACUGUGGGCACAACCGCAAGGGUAAGUCCAAGCUCUCCCAGGAUGAGAACCAAAAGCGUGGGUUCCCAGAAGUCCUACAUGCAGACCUAAGACCUAAAGACUAGAAUAUCCCUACCAGUAGCCAGUCCCAAACAAAUAACCUGAGGGCCAUCGACCCCACCCUUGCUAACUAUCCAGGACAAGUCCUUUGCCCUGAAUGGUCAGAGACAGAUUGGAGCUUUACUUCUGUCCUGUAGCUGGUCAGUUAAUGCAAUAAAGUUUUGCUCUGAGA